GGCCCAAAGGCAGUGAGUUAUCUCAAUUGAUUGCUCACAGUCAGUUACAGAUUUAAGUCCUUGCUCCACUCUUUCCCCUCUUCUCACCACUGCACUUGACUAAUCUUAA
rnacentral:Y_RNA from 1 species